GACGUGUUCUCCAGGGAAUUGUGGGAGGGAUGUAUCCCACUGGUCAAUCGAGGAAACCUGCAGUCAUAAUUCUGCUAAGAGACGCUUAUGUAGGAGAGCGGUCUCAAUUUGUGAUCUUCCCAAGUCCCUGAGCCUCGGUUGGGGGGGGGGGGGGGGAGGUCAGAAGCAGUCUGACCCAUGGAGGAUUAGCCUGUUAUUUCAGCCCUGACCCUCCAUGCCACAGUGUUGCCAUUAUAACUGCACCAAUCAUCCGCAAGCAAAGGAAUUACACAAUUAAUGGCCAAUUAAAGAACCUUUUGGCACAAGGCUGUCUACACCAGGGGAUUCCAAUCAGGUGAAAAAGACAGGUGUGGGUACAGGCUUUUGUACUAGAUCAGCAUUAAAAGCAUUAAAACAACUGAUUCACCUAAUCAGGGUCUUGAUAGAAUUGCAUGAUUGGCUCAUUAGUUGAAUCGAUAAAUAGCCCCCCCACACAGAUAAUACUGCACCCCCUGUGGUAAUUGGGCUGAUUCACAGGGUACUGCAGUGAGCUGAUUGCUUAACAGGUGGCUUGUGUAUGAACUUCAGGGUAAAAGCAGUGAAGACGCACGGCCCUAACUAUGGACAAACUGUGUGCUGGGAAAUACCAUGGACUGCCUGCCAAACCACUCAACUUCCAUACGCUUAAUAAUUAUGGGGAUGAAUAUGGAAGCAUCGCAGGGCUUUGCUUGCGAAGAGCACAUUGUGGCAGUAUGAAAGCUCACAUUCUUUCAUUUGAUGCCCUUCAUGCAGAAAAUGUCUUCCUCACCUUCGAAACAAUCAGCUGCUGAUUUUUCAGCACAAAUACAGCUGGCAGGAGAAGGAGGAGGUGGAGAAGGAGGAUGAAGAGGAGGAGGAGGAGCAAAUUUAGCACCAUAGGACCAAUGCUGGUAGAUUAGCAGAAAGUCUGACUGUUUUGGUUUUGUUGUGCAGUGGGAGGUGCGAGAGUGUCAGUGUGAGAUCAGAUGCUAAUAAAUUUUGAAAACAGUCCCUGCAGACCUCUGGGAAUUAGACUUUUCAAGAAAAUGUGUUAAUUAAGCAUAGAAUAAAAUGUGUAAAAGUUUUUGUUCUGAGCAUUUGUGGAAACAAACAAUGUAUCAUAUAAAAGCCAGUAGAAUCUUACUACUGAAGGGCCUAAAGUGUUAAUUCCAUGUAAAGUGUAUGACGCAGGUGUGCCUGUGCUCCAUAUACAGUGUAUGACGCAGGCGUGCCUGUGCUUAAGCUGUGGAUGAGGUACCCUGAGGUGAACCAUCCAGCCAAAAUGUGCAGCUGCCCAGAGUGAUUCCUGCAAUAAGAAUGAAGCGCUGCAGAGAAACACAGGAACGAUGAACCGGAUGAAACAGCGGUGAAACAGCAGUGAAAUGGAGGUGAAAUUGAGAUAGUUUUAUGGCUUUUCAAAGGGAGAGAAAGCCAUUGAUCCGUCUAAAGGUCACCCAGUCUCUGGAGAGGCUGUGACUGUAUUUGUCAGGUUAUGUAGGAUGUCUGAGCUGGAAGUGUGUUGACAAACUCAGGAUGAUGUGUACCACGGACAUCUGAGAGCAAUGUUUCUACAACUGUGGCAAU